AAGGUUUCUAGGAAGAUAGCGAGGUUUUGAGCUCCUCCUUGGUGGCUUAGGCGCGUUAACUGCCCCUUCCUGUGUAUACAGCCGGCAACACAAACCCCUAAAAUCUCAAGCUCGCGGGUCAGGGUGUCAUCCGAGGGACUCUCGCUCCCGCCCCCACCCACGGCCGGCAGCGGGCAGGACCGGCUGAACUGUAUUGGGUUUACUUUCUUAACGGCAAGGACCCUGAAGGAAAGAGCUGGGUUUGAUUUCUCUUUCCGAGUACAAGAAUGCCCCUGAGGAAUUUCACACUCUGUGAAAGUGCAAAACUCAUUUCCCCAGAUUAAGCGCUGCAGACGGUUCCCCAAAGGGCUUGGCAAGCUCCCAGCAGAAAUGCGCUGGGAGAGUUUCCAGCUCUGUACCCCGGGCAGCUGAACGUGCAGACGACCCUGCGCUAGGAAGGAGGUCCCCUGGCCACUCGGAACGUCUCUGUAGGAAGACACAGUCCUUCCCAGAUAGGUCUACCUUUGGUUUAUUCCAGGCCCCAGUGUGGUUGAGAUUUGGGGCUUCCGACAGAGAAUGCAGAACCACACAUUCACGCAUAGGCGGCGCCUGUAUAGUUUUCUUGACUCAAAUAGCUCAAGCGUGCCUGACUGCAGACAAAUUUGCCUGUCGCUUCUCCCUCACUCCUCCAGGUUCUAGUCCCGCUGCCGUCCUCAAAGGCAUCUAGAAGCGCUGGAAAGUCUUGGGGGUGGCACGUUAAGAACACUAAGUGGUCUGGGGAUGGAGCUCGGUAGGUGAGCGCUUGCCUAGCACGCACGCAUCCCUGCCUGCCAAUCCCAGCACACAGUGAGAGUACCAUCUGAAUCUCACCUCCAUUCUUUUCAUUUUUAAAAGUAGGUCAAGGCCAAGAUCAUUCAAUGCUAAUAGGUUUUCCAGAAAAAAAGAAAAAAAACUGGUAUUUUACCUUAAGUAUUCUGUCUUUUUUAGGGUGUGGAUGGUGAAAGUCUAUUUUGACUGAAUAAUCUUGAGAGUUAACAAAAGCCCAGUGUUCUUCCUUCCCCUGAUUAUUGAGACUCACUUAGUUCCAAAAUGGAAUUAAAAAAAAAAAAAUGACUGAAAGCCUGGUAAGCUUUAUCCAGUGUGUCCCAACAGUCGAUGCUGUUUAAAGUAGCAUUUUCCCCUCAGCAAUGGAAUACUAUGUCAGUUUGGGAUUUUCAUUGUGAUAUGUGCUUCAUAAACAUGGCACGUUUUGUUUCAGUCUGAGUAGCAGCACUUUUAUGAGCCAAAGGAAUGGGAUCACAAGCCAGCGGGAGAAGCAAGCUAUUUACAUCCUGGAGCCAGGCAGGAAAGCUGGAGCAGUGAGGCCUGGGCUCAUGCUGGGGUCUUUGCUAUAUCCCUAGCAUCAGUAUGUUGCAGGCUAUCAUCCCAGAUCUGUGGAGUGAGUGCUCUGACAGAAGGAAAGGCUGCACCCGGAAGGACCACGAAGAAGCCUACUGUUUUGCAGGAGAUAGCUGAGGACCACCUGAGGCCUCUUGUGCUGGGUGAAGAGGGCUAAUUCUUCUGGCUUAAAGAUACAGUGCAGUAGAGACAGCUAUUAAGUGACAAGUCUCCUGAGAUCCUUUCUACACGGUUUCCCUGUCUGGAAAAGCCACCAGCUGGUAAUGCUAUAGUUAAGCAAUCAUUCUACACAACCACACCUCGGGAUGUGAUCAUUGGUAGCCUCACCUGGAUUGAAUUUCCCAAACAAACUUCUGGAAAAGUAAGAGGCCUGAGUUACAGAUCCAGGGGGCAGGAAAAAAACAAUCCCCUGUAAAGCUAUAUCUUACACCCGGAUGGUUAGAGAUGCAGGCGUAUUCGAAAAGGGUGAUUCAGUCUCUUCAUCGGAGCACACCCAUCAGACACUAGACCAGCCCAGACCCAGACAAAGCUCCUGUUCUAAGAGCCAUGAUUGAAAUUCCUCGUGGAAAGUCUGCCUUUGAGACACUCAGAACACCUCAUUUAAUUCUCAUUUCCUUUUUAAGUCAGGUCCCUCCUUCCCGAGAACCACAUUUAAAGCUGCUAGCUGGCUUCCCUUCUGUUUUUGCUCUUUGUGUGCCAGCUUCAAGGGUGGGGAGAGCCACGUUAAUUUAAAAAUAUAGCACACAUAGCAAAAGGGGGGUUGAUUUAAAGUAAAAGCCACAGGAAGGGUUUUCCCCUUCCCUCCGGUGUUUUUCAGACUUCCCUAGAUCCACCUUUAUUUCCUCAGAGCCCAGACAUAGAAAGUGAGCGAGGCUCAUUGGCUGCUCUUCCAAACUGAAGCAAAAAGCCUCCAGUGGACUGCGGCGGGUUUUAUUCUCCUGUAGGGUCUUUCUAAGCACUCUAGAUUUGGGUCAAUUGUGUCCUACCCCUUUGGAUCAAUUGUAUCCACUUUUGGGUUUUGGGAAUGUGGCUUUAAGGGUAGAGUUCCUAGAUCAAAUCCUGAUCUCAUUAUUUAUUAGUUUUCUGACUUUACAUCAAAUGGGAAUCAUUCAGGCCAUAGUGAGUCAAGGUCUAAAAAGGGCCUGGAGCAAAAGGAGCGACCAAUAGGAGGCGGCUAUUAUGAAAAUAGACCGGUUCAUCUGUCGGCUCCCUCCUUAGUUUCCAUCUCCCGUUUUGGAACGGAAAGAAAAUUCGUUAUCUAUUUCAAGUGGAGGAUCUACCUCCAUUUUAAAUCACUCGUGAGCUCACCAGAAGGGGAGGCCAGACCGAGCUGAAUUUGCAAAUACCUAGGCCUUUUAACCGAAUGGAAGCCCGGUCUUUGCGCCUUAACAGAACAAGAGCGAACCGGUUGGGAUUUGGGAAGCCUUGAAGGGAUGUUAAUCGCUCAGUCUAAAGAAGCAGGUCUAAGAUACGGGGGUGGGAGGAAUUCACCUGAAAAAGGAAAGCCGCUGCAAGGUGUCUGUAGCCUGAGCUGACGGCAGUGAAGCUCCAUGCGCGUGCGGCAGCGCCCUCUGCCGGCAGCGGGGGCGCAAAUCUGGAGCCUGGCCCCGCGGCUGGUCAAAUGGGACUCCGGAUCCCUUCUGCUGCCUCCGCCCCCGCUCCGUCCCUUCUCGUGAUCGCGCAGCCGGGUCUGGGACUGGAUUCCAGAAGAGGCGUCCCCAUCCUACGCCUGAAGGCAGGAGCAAGGACGCUGCUCUAAAACACCCGGUUCAUCAGCAGAGCGGAGGCUGCAGGAACCUACCCAAACCCACCUGGGGCUGCUUUUGCCUCCCGGAAACCUGGGCAGAAGCCUGCGGGGCGGUCGGAGGUGGUUUGGAAGUGGCAUCGCCUAUGGCCAAGACCGAGGGUUCUGCGGACAGAGAGGAGCCCUGGGUUCGCUUUCUGCCUCAUCCAGCUAGGUGACCUUGGGCAAGGUCCUCAUGUAGCCCAGGCUGGCCUGGAAUUCACUAAGCAGCAGAGGCUGAUCUUGAACUGCCUUACCUCCCAAGUGCUAGGGUUACAGGAUACUCUGCAAUUAUCACUCCGAGAACCGUCAACAUGAAGUUGGAAAGCUCUGAUGUGAAGACAGGCAUUCUCAGUUCCCAAGACCUGCCAAUGGGGACCAGAACAGAAUCGCUGCUGGGGAGACCACUGCUCCCCAAGUCUGGUCAGGCUGGGAAGGCUGUCCUGGUCUGGGAUCCUAGCCUGGAUGAUGAUGUAUGCCUUCAGGGGUGGUGGGCAAUGAACUAAGUUAAAGGACAUAGUUUUAAAUCUCAUUUAAAUGUUUCUCAUGUCAGAAAGCUUUGUUACUAUUUUUAAAGUUUAUCUCUGUGUAUGUGCAUGUAUGUGUGCGUGUGUGCGUGCAUGCCUGUGUGUGCCCGUGCGCAGGCGCAGGUGCACGUGUGGGCAUGCUUAUGAAGCCCAGGCAAAAGCCUUUCCUGUUGUUUUCAGGUGCUCUGUCCACCUUAGUUUCUUUCUCUCAUCAGCUUGAAGCUCACCAAGCAGGUUAGUGUGACUGGCCAGCAAGUUUCUUCCUCUUCAACGUGGGAUUACAGCUGUGCCUCCAUACCUGGCUUUUUUUUUUUUUUUUUUUUUUAACAUGGGUUCUAGGGGAUUGAAUUUAGGCCCUUAUCCAAACACUUUCCCAACUGAGUCAUCAUCGCAGCCCAACCAGUCGUUUGUUUGAGACAGCGUUAGGUCUCAACCAAACUCACUAUGUAGCGGAGGAUGACCUUAAACUGAACCCCCGGCCUCUCCCCACAAGCGUGAGGCACACAGGUGUACAGCUGUAUACUCCCAUACCUGGCUACUGAAAAUAGCACAUCUUCAAGUCCCCAGACACCCACCACCAGGGCUAACGUUAGACACCACGAAUACCAUCUUGUCCUUGAGAGCUGAGGACAGACGUGAGUCAGUCUCUUCACCGUUAAAGCCGGACUCAUUCAGUUAUUCAACAGCUAUUUCCUGAGUACCUACUGUGUGCAGGAAGCCUGGCAUGGGGCUGGGGAAAUGCUGGAUUGGUCUAUUGCUGGGCUCCAAGUGGCCAGAUGGACAGAGCAGAUGGAGGAGGGGGGGGAUGGGGACGCGGGGACUCACGGGCAUGUGGCAAAGGCCCAAACUCAAGGCUUGUGUUCUGGUGGGGGAGGGGUCCCUGGUGUCCCUUUCACCAGCAUGGAUAGGACUUCAGAGGAUGAUCUUCAGAGGACUGGAGUCUGGUUUUGGAGGAGGAGACCUUGAUAGGGACUGCAUAGUAUGUGUCCCACGGGCUUCUGUGGCUAUUUUGGGAGGCUGAGGGAACUUUAGGAAGUGAGGCCUACCCUGGAGGAAGCAGGUCACUGGGAGUAGGUUCUUUGCGGGAACCUCACCCUUGGCUCCUUCCUGGUCCUCUCUCUGCUUCCUGGUUGGCUGGGUGAUCAUGAAGUGAAUAGCACUACGUCACCACCAACACAUGGGGUCAUGUGACCAUGGACGGACCCAGGCGAAUCUGAGAGCCAGACUCAAUCUUUCUUCCCCAAAUCCUACUAUUCCAGGUAAUUUGGUCACAAUGACAGAAGAAUAACAAAUGUAAGCUCUAGAAAAUGUCUAGGCCAUUCAUUCCUUUUGCAACUCACAAAUCAGUGACACUCCUAAACCAACUCUGCGGGCCAAUAGCGUAAGCAGCUGUUUACUCACCACGUGAAGACACAGCAAAGAAACUUCGGGGUGGGGGGACCCUCACCUCAUACCUACUGUUAUGUCACAACAAAAGCAAGAAUUAAAAUCUCAAAUACAAGACAGUCACUAACAGA